rnacentral:rRNA from 1 species
CGGGACACGUGGUAUCCUGUCUGAAUAUGGGGGGACCAUCCUCCAAGGCUAAAUACUCCUGACUGACCGAUAGUGAACCAGUACCGUGAGGGAAAGGCGAAAAGAACCCCGGCGAGGGGAGUGAAAAAGAACCUGAAACCGUGUACGUACAAGCAGUGGGAGCACGCUUAGGCGUGUGACUGCGUACCUUUUGUAUAAUGGGUCAGCGACUUAUAUUCUGUAGCAAGGUUAACCGAAUAGGGGAGCCGAAGGGAAACCGAGUCUUAACUGGGCGUUAAGUUGCAGGGUAUAGACCCGAAACCCGGUGAUCUAGCCAUGGGCAGGUUGAAGGUUGGGUAACACUAACUGGAGGACCGAACCGACUAAUGUUGAAAAAUUAGCGGAUGACUUGUGGCUGGGGGUGAAAGGCCAAUCAAACCGGGAGAUAGCUGGUUCUCCCCGAAAGCUAUUUAGGUAGCGCCUCGUGAAUUCAUCUCCGGGGGUAGAGCACUGUUUCGGCAAGGGGGUCAUCCCGACUUACCAACCCGAUGCAAACUGCGAAUACCGGAGAAUGUUAUCACGGGAGACACACGGCGGGUGCUAACGUCCGUCGUGAAGAGGGAAACAACCCAGACCGCCAGCUAAGGUCCCAAAGUCAUGGUUAAGUGGGAAACGAUGUGGGAAGGCCCAGACAGCCAGGAUGUUGGCUUAGAAGCAGCCAUCAUUUAAAGAAAGCGUAAUAGCUCACUGGUCGAGUCGGCCUGCGCGGAAGAUGUAACGGGGCUAAACCAUGCACCGAAGCUGCGGCAGCGACGCUGAUGCGUUGUUGGGUAGGGGAGCGUUCUGUAAGCCUGUGAAGGUGUGCUGUGAGGCAUGCUGGAGGUAUCAGAAGUGCGAAUGCUGACAUAAGUAACGAUAAAGCGGGUGAAAAGCCCGCUCGCCGGAAGACCAAGGGUUCCUGUCCAACGUUAAUCGGGGCAGGGUGAGUCGACCCCUAAGGCGAGGCCGAAAGGCGUAGUCGAUGGGAAACAGGUUAAUAUUCCUGUACUUGGUGUUACUGCGAAGGGGGGACGGAGAAGGCUAUGUUGGCCGGGCGACGGUUGUCCCGGUUUAAGCGUGUAGGCUGGUUUUCCAGGCAAAUCCGGAAAAUCAAGGCUGAGGCGUGAUGACGAGGCACUACGGUGCUGAAGCAACAAAUGCCCUGCUUCCAGGAAAAGCCUCUAAGCAUCAGGUAACAUCAAAUCGUACCCCAAACCGACACAGGUGGUCAGGUAGAGAAUACCAAGGCGCUUGAGAGAACUCGGGUGAAGGAACUAGGCAAAAUGGUGCCGUAACUUCGGGAGAAGGCACGCUGAUAUGUAGGUGAAGCGACUUGCUCGUGGAGCUGAAAUCAGUCGAAGAUACCAGCUGGCUGCAACUGUUUAUUAAAAACACAGCACUGUGCAAACACGAAAGUGGACGUAUACGGUGUGACGCCUGCCCGGUGCCGGAAGGUUAAUUGAUGGGGUCAGCGCAAGCGAAGCUCUUGAUCGAAGCCCCGGUAAACGGCGGCCGUAACUAUAACGGUCCUAAGGUAGCGAAAUUCCUUGUCGGGUAAGUUCCGACCUGCACGAAUGGCGUAAUGAUGGCCAGGCUGUCUCCACCCGAGACUCAGUGAAAUUGAACUCGCUGUGAAGAUGCAGUGUACCCGCGGCAAGACGGAAAGACCCCGUGAACCUUUACUAUAGCUUGACACUGAACAUUGAGCCUUGAUGUGUAGGAUAGGUGGGAGGCUUUGAAGUGUGGACGCCAGUCUGCAUGGAGCCGGCCUUGAAAUACCACCCUUUAAUGUUUGAUGUUCUAACGUUGACCCGUGAUCCGGGUUGCGGACAGUGUCUGGUGGGUAGUUUGACUGGGGCGGUCUCCUCCUAAAGAGUAACGGAGGAGCACGAAGGUUGGCUAAUCCUGGUCGGACAUCAGGAGGUUAGUGCAAUGGCAUAAGCCAGCUUGACUGCGAGCGUGACGGCGCGAGCAGGUGCGAAAGCAGGUCAUAGUGAUCCGGUGGUUCUGAAUGGAAGGGCCAUCGCUCAACGGAUAAAAGGUACUCCGGGGAUAACAGGCUGAUACCGCCCAAGAGUUCAUAUCGACGGCGGUGUUUGGCACCUCGAUGUCGGCUCAUCACAUCCUGGGGCUGAAGUAGGUCCCAAGGGUAUGGCUGUUCGCCAUUUAAAGUGGUACG